AGAACGAACGCUGGCGGCAUGCCUAAUACAUGCAAGUCGAACGAACUCUUCGGAGUUAGUGGCGCACGGGUGCGUAACGCGUGGGAAUCUGCCCCUUGGUUCGGAAUAACAGUUGGAAACGACUGCUAAUACCGGAUGAUGACGAAAGUCCAAAGAUUUAUCGCCAAGGGAUGACGCCGCGUAGGAUUAGCUAGUUGGUGAGGUAAGCUCA
rnacentral:rRNA from 1 species